rnacentral:rRNA from 1 species
GGAAAGAUGAAAAGCACUUUGGAAAGAGAGUUAACAGUACGUGAAAUUGUUGGAAGGGAAACGCUUGAAGUCAGACUUGCUGUUCGGAGUUCAGCCGCAAGGUGUACUCUCCGAGUUGCAGGCCAGCAUCAGUUUUUCGGGGUGGAAAAUCACGGUUUGAAGGUAGCAGUUUCGGCUGUGUUAUAGCUUUCCGUUGGAUACAUCCUGGGGGACUGAGGAACGCAGUGUGCUUUUAGCAAUACCCUCGGGUAUUUCACACUUAGGAUGCUGGUGGAAUGGCUUUAAACGACCCGUCUUGUAACACGGACCAAGGAGUCUAACAUAUGUGCGAGUACAGGGGUGGCAAACCCCCGUGCGCAAUGAAAGUGACAGUGGUUGGACCUUUUGGGCACAAUCCGCCGGCCUCAAUCCUUCGGGAGAACGGUCUGAGUGUGAGCAUACAU